rnacentral:tRNA from 1 species
CGGGGUGUAGCUCAGCUUGGCAAGAGCAUCCGCUUUGGGAGCGGAAGGCCGCAGGUUCAAAUCCUGUCACCCCGACGA